rnacentral:rRNA from 1 species
UCCUACGGGACGCAGCAGUGGGGAAUAUUGGACAAUGGGGGGAACCCUGAUCCAGCGACGCCGCGUGAGUGAAGAAGUAUUUCGGUAUGUAAAGCUCUAUCAGCAGGGAAGAAAGAAAUGACGGUACCUGAUUAAGAGGCCCCGGCUAACUACGUGCCAGCAGCCGCGGUAAUACGUAGGUGGCAAGCGUUAUCCGGAUUUAUUGGGUGUAAAGGGCGUGUAGGCGGGAAAGCAAGUCAGAUGUGAAAACUCAGGGCUCAACCCUGAGCCUGCAUUUGAAACUGUUUUUCUUGAGUGCUGGAGAG